AAAUUGGAACUUGGGGAGCUUGUCAAGGGUUCAUAUUUCUAAACAGGACUGCAUAAAGUGCAUUUUGCAUCACAAACCAGUCUCUGAUUGGACAGUUUCUCUUUCCCAUUCUGGUAUGUUCCCGCCAUCUUUGUUUCUGUAUCAACUGACUCCACUUACGGAUGACCAGAGGCGCCCUCAUCUGGAUGACGUCCAAAUUACAACACUAAGAGAAGGCUUAAGUGGACAUCAUUAGUGAGUCGACUGGAACCAAUUUUAAUCUAAUAAACCAUUAAUCGACAAUUAAUCGCAAGUUUAUUAACCCUAGAUGAGAGGAUAAAAGAUGAGAGAAAGAGGUCCAGCUAAUGUCCCUGCAUUAUCCAGCUCAGCCUUUUUUAUCAUCAGCUUGUGUAACCAUCACAUAUUUAGAAUCAAUGCUUGUGUUAUGACGUCAGUCAAUAAUUAUUGUCUUUUUUAAAAGAAAAAAUAUGGGUUUAUCACAAAACUCACUUUCACAAAAUGUCCUCAUAAAAUUCCGAUUAUAAAGUUUGUUAGAAAAAACACCAGAAAGUCUCACUUUGGAACCACGGUUACAUAACCGCCAACAUCCACACAUCCUCGCAGCCGCAGAGCCCUUUUGGGAAUCAGUCGCAUCAACCCCAACGCUGGAAAUGGGAACGCUGCCACUUCCUUUUGUGUGAACAGGGAAGCUUAAGCAGUGCAGGCAGAGGAGCAGUAAACCAGAGGGCAGCAGUAAGGGUAAGGCAGCAGUCCCUCCCAGACAGGACUGCCAAAGAGAAAACUGCAGCCUCUGAGAUAGGCAAGGCAGCAAAAGGAAGAACUCAAGAGCAAAGGUAUGAGAUGACUUUCCGUCCUACUUUAGGACCUGCAGCAGCGUCACACAGCAACAAACCAACAAACUAGUUCUGCCAAACAACACCCUCUGCAGGGGAACUGCUCCUGGGAAUACACUGUAGCAUGCUCACACGGUCUCCACCCUGUCCUCCUCCUCCUCCUCCUCCUCCUCCUCUUCUGUUCGCUCAGGAACUUCUGACACUCAGUGUGGGCUUGACUAAGUGUGGGAAAACUGCUGAGACUCUCACAGCAGGAUGGAUGCCAGAGAGGAGACAGUGGGUCUCCUGAACAAUGUCUGGCUCAAGCUUCAAAGUCUGCCCAGUGCCCACCCUCUGGAGCUGGGAGGCUUCUUCAUCCUCCUAAUCUUCAUCUUUAUGGUGAUCCUCAUGAUGGUGCUCACCUGCGUGAGUCACUGCUGCUGCUGCUGCUGUAAGUCCAAACAGGACGAGCUCGACGUCUGAGGGAACAUUUUUACUUUCCGGCAGGUUUUUCCUGCCGAUCUGCUCACCUCUGUGCUUAGAAAUCAGACAUAAGCUGCACAGUGUGUGCACAAAAAAGGAGGCGGUGCCACAGCACAACAAAACAAACUCUUGGAUUGCGUUCUGGGACAACAAAUCACACCCGUUAAUGCUGCCAGGCUUUCAGGAGAAGCAGCAUUCCUUUGGAGCAUCCCUGCCUGCGGAGCAACAGCAGCUCAUCUACCAUCAGGAGAAGGUGGGGCCAGAAACAACUGACUUAUAAGCAAAUAUGCAGCACCGAACAGGCUUACAGGUCUUUAAAAAAAACAACAACAAGCUGCUCAGUGUUAGAUGAGCGGAAAGCCACAUUUGUUUGAGAAGGAUUCAUACUGACAUUGUAUCAUUCCUCUGUGAGGAAUAUUAGAAUGGAAAGCUGAUCUUUUAACUUUAUAAGCAAGUAAAUAGUUGCAUUUUACGAUACACUAUUAGGAAAACAGAUUCUAAUGUUUUUUUCCAAUUUUUUGUUGUUGUUUUCAGGAUUUAAAUCAUAGUAGAUUAAUUUCAAUGUUUGAAUUGAGAAAAGUAAAAGAAGCACAAUACUGGAACACAGCUGAAAGUUGUUUAAGGAUCAGAUAGCAAAGUCUCUUGUUCCAAUUUAAGCUCAUAAAGUGAAGAUUUAUGUGGUGAUUUUUCCAGUGAGGAAGAGGAAACCAGGAGAAAUGUCAUCUGAAAGCGACAGAUUAGAGCACAAACAAAACACGCCAUGAAGGAAUUUAUAAGAUCUGUGGUGAGGGAAAAGUUAAGCAAUUUAACCUAAACACUGAUGCAUUCAUUUUGUCACAGACAUGACAUCUGCUACUCUCAAUAAUCAGUGAAUCAUUAGUGUAAACAAAUAACACUAUAAACAAUGAAAGUCUCUCCCUUGUGGCUCAAAAUUGCAUUAAAAAAAUAAAAACAGCUAAGGCACGGCUGUAAAUUUAACUGUGCUUCAUAUUUCUGAGACUUUUAGGCGAUUUGCCUCUAAAAUAAAUUUGCCUUUUAAAGUGUUCAUUGAAAGCGGGGAACAGAAGGGCAAGUCUGCCCCCUGUUGUUCUGAAAUUGAAAAUUGGAUAUUCAAAGAAGGGAAUAACGUUUAUAUCUGAAACUGUUGAAUGAGCUCAAGUAUACUGAUGUGAGAUUUUUACUGCAUCGUAAUGUAGUGAAGUGAUUUUUAUACAAUAAAAAUGUUGUUUCUAAA